GUCAAGUACAAGAACGCAUCCAGCUGUGUGUGUUGGAUCCGAGAAGGAGGUUGGAGACUGGCUAGAGAGCGGAGCAGGUCGGGAGGCUGGGUCCUUCACACACGCCACCAACCGAAGACGCCUUCAGCGGGGCGCCGGAGCCCAGAGGCUCUCAAGCGCUGCUGGCUUCUCUUCCCAACUUGGCAUCGGCAACAUCACCACCAGCGUGCAACGAGCCAUGAGUCUACUCACGGAGUGUGGAAAAUAAACUCCCAAGAUGUCGGGCUUUCUUACUUCCUGGAACCAUGAUUCACAAUUCAAACGUUCAAAACAGUUAAAAAAAAAAAAAAAAAACGGAAAAGGUUUUCUUUGAAGCGAUUCACUUCCUCCUUAUUAUUCACUGCAGUUAACCAAUGUUUAUGGUAUUAACACUUUGAAAAAGAUUGGCGUGUGACCAAAGAGGGACUUGAACCAGCUAAUCAGGGUGCACUUCACAUCUACAAAAUCUUCAGUCAUCAACAGCACGCACAGACCCUGCCAGACCAUAAGUGAUAAUAAAGUAACACCUAAUAACAAAAUAUUCUUUAAAGUUUGUGAAAAGGCAGUAUUUGUAAAUAUUUUAAAAUUUGCCUCCUCUAUUCAUUUCGUUUCGAGGGUUUAUUCUAGCCGCAGAGAAAGUAAACACGCAAUUACAAUUACACAAAACUAAGCCAGCUAAUUGGGAGAUCAAAAAAUAAAAACGCCCUUGUCUUUUUUGCGAAUUACUGUUUAUCUCAAGAAUGUUCCAUUGCGAUACUAAGACUCACGUUCCUAAGGUUUUGACAGACUCAAUAAACAAAAGGGAUUUAGGGGCAUGAGUUGACCAUCUGUCCAGAGCUUCCUGAACUUUCAGCAAAGCGGAUGAAUAAAAUUAUCCUUAAUUAUGUUAUCAGGGCUGUAUUUGAAUACCCAGACGUACCGGAUUUUGGAUUAGCCACUUAAAAUCCCAUUGAAAGAUUCUGACUGAGUAACAGAACUUUAGAAAGUGACAUUACAUCAGUUUUACUCUUUUAGAAGUUGUCGUGCAUCAGAUGGCAAUCUAUCAAGACUUGGCACAGAAGGACAGAAGAUGAAAACUAUCUCCCUCAGAAACUUUCUUUGCUACUGUUGAUGACCACAACAGUGAGAUGCUUGUAAGCAACAAAUACAAGAGUGGUAGGGAUGUGUACAGUCUCCCAGAUGGAUUUCUCUGUAUUUUCACUUGGUUCUUCCAGAUGUAGGGCACAGACACAGCGUCACGGCUCGCUUGUACUAAAUGCCUUUGUUGAAAUUGUUUUCCUCACCCGCUACACACAGGUCCUUUUCUAGUUUGGAUCCAGUCACAUAGCACAGUGGUUCAUACCUUGGGUUCUAGAGUCAACAAAGAUAGGUUUUAUUUCCAUUCUGUCACUUACUAUCUUUAAAUGGCUCUGAGCAAGAUACUUGAUUUCUUAAGGCCUCAGUCUUCUCAUCUAUAAAAUGGGAACAAUAAUUCUGCAUUCUUCAUUACCGUGGCUCUGAGGAUUAACUAAGCUAAUGUGUGUGUAAAACCCGUGUCUGGCACAUGUUCAGGUUUAAAAUUUAAAUUCUGCAAGUAUCUAUUAGAUUUGCCUGUUACAUAUAGAAACUGUGCUAGGUACGGGGAAAUAGUUAUUAAAUAUUAGGCAUUUGUUAUUUUUCCUACUACUCUAUUGCUAUUUUCUGGACUAUAUGUACCUACAUACUAUUCUAUAGUUCAGGAACCUACUGAUGUCCAGAAGGAUUAAGUAAUGUAUCUACACAGUAUUUUACCUAAACUGAAAGAAGCUUUAAGAACAGAGGCAGGCGCCCCUGUCUCCAUCUUGUUAAUGAGGAAACCGAGGUCUAGAAGGUUUGGGUACCUUGCUGUGCAAAGGGGCCUGACAGCGUGCCGGUGGUCAUAGACUCUGGAGUGAGGCUGCCUGCGUAUGAAUCCUGCAUCUGCCAGCUGGUGUCCAUGUGACUCUCCAAGUAACUUUAAAAAAAGUUUAUUUAUUUACUUUUUAUUUAUGUGUUUAUUUAAAGUUUUAUUUA